rnacentral:tRNA from 1 species
AGUUAAAUCAAAUGUAUAUCUUGAAAAUAUAUCCUAAAAUUAGUUUUUUAUUAACUU